rnacentral:lncRNA from 1 species
GAUAGUAGCGAGAUGGAGAGUGAGGGAGGAUUGGAGGAGAGGCCAGCCUGUCGGUUCUUCUUCCGGUUGUACUUUGCCAUGAUCAACUUCUAAUCAAGCUUGCUCAUGGGAUGACUCUGGUAAUCUACUUCUAAUUCAUUAUGCAGUUACUAAUCAUGUAUGUUCUGGUUCACAACUCUUUUGAGUACUUUAAUCUAUAGGACGCUAUAGGUGAGAGUUGUAGUAUAGGUGUAAGCGUGGUGCUUAGACCUAGAUUACUUGUGAAUAUCCCCUGUCUAGCUGGAUCCUGUGGUAGGCCGCGUAGGUGACAGUUACGUUGGUCCCCUGUAGUCCACCUCUUGUUAGUAGGACGGGUAGGGAUUAUCGGCCUAUGGAUAAGCAUCCUUUGUGGUGUAUUCUUAUCACGUGGUUCGUCCCAGACAUAGACAUACCCCUUUGAAGUAGAGAAACCAUAGUUAUCCUCUCUAUUCUGCUACCAUCGCCUAUAUACUAGAUUGCUCUAUUCUCUAUUCCCAUAUUAUCACCCAUUGUUAUCUUACCUUUAAUAUUGUUCUUAUUCAAUUCUACCAUCUUUCCUAUUUACACUUAUCUAUCUAUCUUGGUUAAGUUAGAGCGUAGUUGGUUCUCCCGUUUCCCUGUGGAUACGAUAAAACCUUUAACCUGGAAAAAGCUACAGCGGUAUCCGUGCGCUUGCGGAUUUAUCUGUGUGCGUAUAAAUACCAUAGUACACUCUAGUGCCAUGCUGGGGAUGACAACCUAGUAUUCAAGUGGUGUUAGCAAGUGUCAACAAGCAUUUUUGGCGCCGUUGCCGGGGAAACGGUUGCUGAGUUGACUACGAACUAGCUUAAUCAUUUUCUAAAAAAUAAUAAAAAAAAUAUAAUAUACUUUUCCUUUUAUCCUUUGACUCAUCUCUGCUAUUCUUUCUUCUUAUCUAAUCCUUGAUUUCUGGUCUAUCAUGAAUGCAAACAUGUCUAUCUAUCAGUUUCAUAGACCUACGGGCACACAUCUCGAACCACCAAAAUCUUCAAAGCCUAUCAUAGCAUCUAGUUUUGAGAUAGACCCCGAAUACAUAGAAUUUGUUCAAAAACAACCUUUCUCAGGAGAAGGUGAGGAAAACUCAUACACACACCUAAGAGAGUUUUAUAGAGUCUGUGACCUCCUUCGCAUAGAAGGCAUGUCCGAUGAGACCCUUAAAUGGAAGCUCUUUCCGUUCUCUUUAACGGGAAAAGCUAGGCAUUGGUACAAACUCAAAGUAGGGAGUGUUCAUGGAGAUUGGAAGGAUUUAUAUAAUAGUUUUCUUUUUAAAUAUUUUCCAAUCUCCAAAGUGGCAAAACUUCGAUGUGAAAUUAUUUCUUUUAGAUAACUGGAAGAAGAAUCUCUUAGCAAAUCAUGGGACUGGUUUAUUAACCUUACUCUCACUGGUCCAAAGCUUUCUAUUCCAGAAGAAGUUCUUCUAAUUCACAUUUUUGAGGGCCUUAGUAGGGAAAAUAAGCAAACCGUGAAUACAGCCUCUAGAGGAUCCUUCUAUCAUCUACCUGCUAGUGAAGCUAUGGAUUUAAUUGAUUCAUUGAGUGGAAAGUUUCCUAGCAUUUAUAUCCCUGAGAAAGAGAAAGAAUCAGUUCCUAGACAAGAAGAAGAAGUUUCGAUAGCCAGAUCACAGCCACUUCAAUCCCAACCUUUAGCUAUCGAUCCUAAACUAUCAAUACCCCAAAAUUCUCCAAGGGAGGAAGGAAUUCCAACCUUAAAUCUUUCAUAUACUGAUGGUUUAGACUUCUGGUUCCAUAAGAGACCUUCAAGCAGGGAUAAGUCAAAUCCUUGCAAUAAUGUUUCUCUUAGAGAAUGUCCUGGUUGCUAUUAUGAAGAAGUCGAGGAUGACAUAUCAAGUGAAGGAGAGCUAAGCCAUAUAGAAAAUUCUAACACCUCCCCUUUCCUGAUCACAAGUUCUAAAUGGCUAGAAUGUGUAGAAUGGAUGGAUAAGGAAGAAGCCUUAAUGGAUUCUGACUUUGGCUCAAUUUCAAAUGGUGAGUUCUUGACUCCCUUUGAAGAUGAGAUUCAUCCAACUAUAGAAGAGGACAUAAGUGAGACCAAUCUAGGAGAAACUCCGAACCUUCAGAUUGGAGACGAAGAUAACAUUAAUGAGCAUGGAAUUUAUUUCAUAGCCACUUCAUUUACUCCAUGCUCAUAUGCAACAUCUUCCCAAUCUAUUGGUCUCUCCAACAUCACCACAUUUGAGAUCUCCAACCCCCUCUUCCUUUCUAUUUACAAAAACUUUAAAAGGGCGGUUGUCGAUGCAUAUGUCUAUAAUAAAUAUUGCAGAUCUCAUUGAGCUAAUCUUGAUAUAGGUCAGCGUUGGAAGUGAAACCAACGCUGAUUAUUUACAACAUUACCUGGUGUAUUGAGCAUAUAAGGAUAAUUGUAAAAAUAUUCCUUCGGGUAUUCUUGUCACUAUCCUUUCUAGGAUUGGAGCAAGAAGAUCGGAUGAAUGACAAGCACGAGGUAUGUCCAACCAAUCAUCAUACAAUAUUUAAUUAAAUUCAUCCAAACUUGAAUUUUGCAAAAUUCAAGCUUGGGGGAGUACUUUACAUCCUUUGCCAUGUUGCUAUGUUGGUUGUCCCUACCUUUGAGACAUGCUCAAUUUGUUAAAUAUUAAUCACACUACUUCAUCUCCACUUGAGUAGAUCUCUAUAAAUGCUAUCACACUACCUUUGUUUAUCCUAGUAAGUCUUAGUUUGGAAGUACUGCACAUACUUCUAUUGGCUUUUAAAUUAAGCAUGGUGCUUAGAUUAAACAGCCUUCCUUAAUCUGAUUAGACAUGGAGUCUAGUUUGGUUAUUGAACUAAAAACUGCUUGAGUAGAUAUUGGUAUAUUUUGUUGAACUAACCCCUGCAGGAAAACUUUCAAUAUCAACCUGGGAAGUCCUGAGAUAAACUCACAUUAGAGACAAGGAGAGGGACACAUAAAUAAAGAAAAGGAUCCAAAUGCAACCAACACCCAGACUUAGGGUUUUAUCUGACAGAAUUCCACGAGUUUUGGUGUUUGUCUAUUUCUACAGGGGGGUUAUCAGGAAAUACGGAAGAAAGGCCCACACGUCGGGUUUACAUAGAGAUAUUAACGUGCCGCGCAAUUUUCUAUCAUCUAGAAGACUCCAGAAGCCACGGGAACAAAGCGAAAGCCGAGAGGGCUCAGGAACAGGGCGCCCGCCCACCUAUUUCGGCCAAUCACGCUCAAUCUCGCGGAUUAUGCUCCACCGACCUAAAGGAUCAAGAAUAACCGUUCAAUCAAUGUCGGUUUGAUCCGACGGCCCAGAUUCACUUGAGGGGACUGUAUAACCAGACCCCCUAGCCCCUGGAAGAGGCACCCCUUGAUCACUAUUCAUUAUUCAUAGAUAGAGCAAAAGCUAGGGUUUAGAGAUGAGAGCUCUCCUCUCUUCUCUAAACUAGAGUAGAUCUAGAUAGUAGCGAGAUGGAGAGCGAAGGAGGAUUAGAGGAGAGGCCGGCCUGUCGGUUCUUCCUCCGGUUGUACUUCGUCAUGAUCAAGCUCUAAUCAAGCUUGCUCAUGGGAUGACUCUGGUAAUCUACUUCUAAUUCAUUAUGCAAUUACUAAUCAUGUAUGUUCUGGUUCACAACUCUUUUGUGUAGUUCUAAUCUAUAGGACCCUAUAGGUUAGAGUUACAGUAUAGGCGUAAGCAUGGUGCUUAGGCCUAGAUUACUUGUGGAUAUCCCCUGUCUAGCCGGAUCGUGUGGUAGGCCGCAUAUGUGACAGUUAUGUUGGUCCUCUGUAGUCCACCUCUCGUUAGUAGGACGGGUAGGGUUUAUCGGCCUAAGGAUAAGCAUCCUUUGUGGUGUACUCUUAUCACGUGGUUCGCCCCAGACAUAGACAUACCCCUUUGAAGUAGAGAAAUCAUAGUUAUCCUCUUUAUUCUGCUACCAUCGCCCAUAUACUAUAAUUGCUCUACUCUCUAUUCCCAUAUUAUCACGCAUUGUUAUCUUACCUUUAAUAUUGUUCUUAUUCAAUUCUACCAUCUUUCCUAUUUACACCUAUCUAUCUAUCUUGGAUAAGUUAGAGCGUAGUUGGUUCUCCCGUUUCCCUAUGGAUACGAUAAAACCUUUAACCGGGUAAAAGCUAUAACGGUAUCCGUGUGCUUGCGGAUUAUCUGUGUGCAUAUAAAUACCAUAGUACACUCUAGUACCAAGCUGGGGAUGACAACCUAGUAUUCAAGUGGUGAUAGCAAGUGUCAACAAGCAUUUUUUGGCGCCGUUGCCGGGGAAACGGUUGCUGAGUUGACUACGAACUAGCUUAAUCAUUUUCUAAAAAAUAAAAAAAAUAUUUUCCUUUUAUCCUUUGCCUCAUCUCUGCUAAUCUUUCUUCUUAUCUAAUCCUUGAUCUCUGGUCUAUCAUGAAUUUAAACAUGUCUAUCUACGAAUUUCAUAGACCUACGGGCACACAUCUCGAACCACCAAAAUCUUCAAAGCCUGUCAUAGCAUCUAGUUUUGAGAUAGACCCCGAAUACAAAGAAUUUGUUCAAAAACAACCUUUCUCAGGAGAAGGUGAGGACAACCCAUACACACACCUAAGAGAGUUUUAUCGAGUCUGUGACCUCCUUCGCAUAGAAGGCAUGUCCGAUGAGACCCUUAAAUGGAAGCUCUUUCCGUUCUCUUUAACGGGAAAAGCUAGACAUCGGUACAAACUCAAAGUAGGGAGUGUUCA